UACGGAGGGUGCAAGCGUUAUCCGGAUUCACUGGGCUUAAAGGGUGCGUAGGCGGGCUGGCAAGUCAGGGGUGAAAUCUCCAGGCUUAACUUGGAAACUGCCAUUGAUACUAUUAGUCUUGAAUACCGUGGAGGUCAGCGGAAUAUGUCAUGUAGCGGUGAAAUGCUUAGAUAUGACAUAGAACACCAAUUGCGAAGGCAGCUGGCUAGACGAAUAUUGACACUGAUGCACGAAAGCGUGGGGAUCAAACAGG
rnacentral:rRNA from 1 species